GCGGGCGCCGCCGCCGCCCUUGCGCGCCGCCACCUGACCCCGAGCUGGAGAUCUGGCCGGAGUCCGGCUGCUAGAGUUGACUGCAAGGAGCCUAUGGCCCCAGUGUGCGUUAAAGAGGCUAGAAGGAGCCCAGGUAGAUAUGGGGCGCAGGCUGUAGCCGGGAGCUUGCGAGGGGGCCUUUACGUGAGGCUCACCGUGGGGUCUCCAGCGAGGUGUCUCUGCAGAGCUGCGAUGGUGAGAAGAGGAACUCGAUUGGUGUCUGGAGCUGGAAUGUAGAGACAUACAGAGAUCUGUUAUGUCUGAGAUGAAAACCCUGAACAACACAGAAAUUGCCACAGCCACUCCAGCCUUCAGCAACCCACUCUGAUCAGUCAGCAGCCAUCGACAUUGAGGAAAGACCUUCCAUCAGGAAAAAGAUUACGACUUGCUGAAGGCUCAGAUGACAGUUACCACUUUUAAGUAGGAAAAUACUUUAAAAUUAAGAUCAUAGAAACUAAAAUUUAUCUCCCUCAAAGCAAGCCAUAAAACCUAAGAAGGUCACUCUCUGACCUUCUUGCCCUGAAGACCUUAAUGUGACAGGUGUUCUUCCCUUCCCUAGAGGCCAAAGAGAAGCUGAACAAACAGGCCUUGCUGAGGUUCCUGUUUAUUACCAUUGGGCCAUACCUCCUUUUUAUUCAAUCCUACUUCAACAUGACUGUUCAUCCUUCAUCACACCUAAGCAUUAAAAUACAGUUUUCCCUCAGUCAUUGUGUCUUCAUUUUUUAAGGCUUACAUGUCAUGUAAAACUUUGAUUAAAUAAAUUUGUGA